UACGGAGGUGCGAGCGUUGUCCGGAAUCACUGGGCGUAAAGGGCGCGUAGGCGGCCGAGCAAGGUCGCGGUGAAAGCCCGGGCUCAACUCUGGACAGGCGGUGGAACUACCAAGCUGGAGUACGGGUAGGGGCAGGAGGGAAUUUCCGGUGGAGCGGUGAAAUGCGUAGAGAUCGGAAAGAACACCAACGGCGAAAGCACUCUGCUGGCCGACACUGACACUGAGAGACGAAGCUAGGGGAGCGAAUGGG
rnacentral:rRNA from 1 species